AGAGUUUGAUCCUGGCUCAGGAUGAACGCUGGCGGCGUGCUUAACACAUGCAAGUCGAGCGAUUUACUUCGGUAAAGAGCGGCGGACGGGUGAGUAACGCGUGGGUAACCUGCCCUGUACACACGGAUAACAUACCGAAAGGUAUGCUAAUACGAGAUAAUAUACUUUUAUCGCAUGGUAGAAGUAUCAAAGCUUUUGCGGUACAGGAUGGACCCGCGUCUGAUUAGCUAGUUGGUAAGGUAACGGCUUACCAAGGCGACGAUCAGUAGCCGACCUGAGAGGGUGAUCGGCCACAUUGGAACUGAGACACGGUCCAAACUCCUACGGGAGGCAGCAGUGGGGAAUAUUGCACAAUGGGCGAAAGCCUGAUGCAGCAACGCCGCGUGAGCGAUGAAGGCCUUCGGGUUGUAAAGCUCUGUCCUCAAGGAAGAUAAUGACGGUACUUGAGGAGGAAGCCCCGGCUAACUACGUGCCAGCAGCCGCGGUAAUACGGAGGAUCCGAGCGUUAUCCGGAUUUAUUGGGUUUAAAGGGAGCGUAGAUGGAUGUUUAAGUCAGUUGUGAAAGUUUGCGGCUCAACCGUAAAAUUGCAGUUGAUACUGGAUAUCUUGAGUGCAGUUGAGGCAGGCGGAAUUCGUGGUGUAGCGGUGAAAUGCUUAGAUAUCACGAAGAACUCCGAUUGCGAAGGCAGCCUGCUAAGCUGCAACUGACAUUGAGGCUCGAAAGUGUGGGUAUCAAACAGGAUUAGAUACCCUGGUAGUCCACGCCGUAAACGAUGAAUACUAGGUGUGGGGGGACUGACCCCCUCCGUGCCGGAGUUAACACAAUAAGUAUUCCACCUGGGGAGUACGGCCGCAAGGUUGAAACUCAAAGGAAUUGACGGGGGCCCGCACAAGCAGUGGAUUAUGUGGUUUAAUUCGAAGCAGCGCGAAGAACCUUACCAGGGCUUGACAUCCAACUAACGAGGUAGAGAUACGUUAGGUGCCCUUCGGGGAAAGUUGAGACAGGUGGUGCAUGGUUGUCGUCAGCUCGUGUCGUGAGAUGUUGGGUUAAGUCCCGCAACGAGCGCAACCCUUAUUGUUAGUUGCUACGCAAGAGCACUCUAACGAGACUGCCGUUGACAAAACGGAGGAAGGUGGGGACGACGUCAAAUCAUCAUGCCCCUUAUGUCCUGGGCUACACACGUAAUACAAUGGCGUUUAACAGAGGGAAGCAAAGCCGCGAGGCAGAGCAAAUCCCCAAAAGGCGUCUCAGUUCGGAUUGCAGGCUGCAACCCGCCUGCAUGAAGUCGGAAUUGCUAGUAAUCGUGGAUCAGCAUGCCACGGUGAAUACGUUCCCGGGUCUUGUACUCACCGCCCGUCA
rnacentral:rRNA from 1 species